CCCAUCUCUCCGAGGAUGGGAGUGAGCAAUUGAGGGCAAGAUCUCUCCCAGCAGCAAACAGGAACCACGUGAGAACCCUGGGGAGCAACUUUGGGGGCUCUGCCAGCCAACCCCUACUUCUUCAGCAUCUAGUCCGUCCGAGGCAGUGUUUUGGCGCUCGACUAAACAAAGGAGGUCCCUGCUCUCGGGAAGUUUUCUAGUAAGAAAACAUCAGCAUAUCAAAGGUAUUUGAGAAUCAUGGAUCCAACACCCAGUGAGAGAGUAUAGCAGAGGUCCAGAUCGCUCCUGGAUGCGGGGGAUUGACCCAUGUGGAGAAGAAAGCUGUGAAGGAGGAAGAAAACCAGGCUAGAGUCUGGGGUUACGGAACACUGGGGAGGUGAUCAUCGCAUAACAUGGCUGUGAAGAGUUUUGCAGUUGAAGACUUGGCUCUGCAAGUCACACAAACGAGCUCUGAACCUCAGAGCUUCCACUUCCGCCUUCUCCUCGUAAAAUCGUAGUAUAAUCGUAGAAUCUUGUCACAUUGGCCAUUGUGUUGUCACAGAGCCAUUGCAGCCUGGAGGCAGCAACAUUGUCUAUUUCUCCCACUUGCCUAUCCCUAGUGCCUAGCACUAGGGCCUGACGGAAGCUCAGUAAAUGUUUGCUGAAUUAGUGAAUCUCUGAAAUGUUAAACUGACAUCACAAGGAGGACAUAGACCAAAAAGGGGAAGACAUAGGAUCCAAGAAACAAGAAUUCAAACCCAAGAAAAGUUGUUAGGGUAGAUCCUAAUCCAAUAUGACUGGUGUCCUUAUAAGAAAAGGAAAUUAGGACACAAACGAAACAGAGGGAUAACCUUGUGAGGAUCCAGAAGACAGCCAUCUGCAGUCCAAAGAGCAUGGCCUAGAAGAAAGCAAACUUGUCAACACCGUGGUCUUGGACUUCCAGCUUCUGGAACUGCAAGAAAAUACAUUUCUGUUAG